UGCUUAAUACAUGCAAGUCGAGCGAGAAAGUACCCUUCGGGGUGCGAGUAGAGCGGCGAACGGGUGAGUAACACGUAAGUAACCUGCCUCUAAAUUCGGGAUAACCUUGCUAACGCGGGGCUAAUACCGGAUGUGGUCCAUAAACCACAUGGUUAUUGGAUUAAAGGUGACCUCUUCUUGAAAGUUACUGUUUAGAGAUGGACUUGCGGACCAUUAGCUUGUUGGUAGGGUAACGGCCUACCAAGGCUGUGAUGGUUAGCCGACCUGAGAGGGUGAUCGGCCACAUUGGGACUGAGAUACGGCCCAGACUCCUACGGGAGGCAGCAGUAGGGAAUUUUGCGCAAUGGACGAAAGUCUGACGCAGCAACUCCGCGUGAGGGAUGAAGGCCUUCGGGUUGUAAACCUCUGUUGAGUGGGAAGAAAAAGCCUUAUACUAAUAUUAUAAGGACAUGACGGUACCAUUCGAGGAAGCACCGGCUAACUACGUGCCAGCAGCCGCGGUAAUACGUAGGGUGCUAGCGUUGUUCGGAAUCACUGGGCGUAAAGGGAGCGUAGGCGGGAAGGUAAGUUAGAAGUGAAAUGUAUCGGCUCAACCGGUAAUCUGCUUUUAAUACUGCCUUUCUUGAGUAUUGGAGAGGAUGAUGGAAUUCCAGGUGUAGCGGUGGAAUGCGUAGAUAUCUGGAAGAACACCAGUUGCGAAGGCGGUCAUCUGGCCAAAUACUGACGCUGAGGCUCGAAAGCUAGGGGAGCGAACAGGAUUAGAUACCCUGGUAGUCCUAGCCGUAAACGAUGGACACUAGAUGCCGGAAGUGUUAUGCUUUCGGUGUCGAAGCUAACGCAUUAAGUGUCCCGCCUGGGGAGUACGCUCGCAAGGGUGAAACUCAAAGGAAUUGACGGGGGCCCGCACAAGCGGUGGAGCAUGUGCUUUAAUUCGAUGCAACGCGAAGAACCUUACCUGGUCUUGACAUGGGAGUGAAAUUUUCCAGAGAUGGAAAGCUUUCCUUCGGGAACACUCUACACAGGUGCUGCAUGGUUGUCGUCAGCUCGUGUCGUGAGAUGUUGGGUUAAGUCCCGCAACGAGCGCAACCCCUAUCCUUAGUUGCCAUCAGGUAAUGCUGGGAACUCUAGGGAGACUGCCUGGAUUAACCAGGAGGAAGGUGGGGAUGACGUCAAAUCCUCAUGGCCCUUACGACCAGGGCUA
rnacentral:rRNA from 1 species